rnacentral:rRNA from 1 species
AUCGUCGGGUUAGCAAUAAUUCGGCGGUUCGAGUGGCGCACGGGUGAGUAACACGUGGGUAACCCACCCUUGAGACCGGGAUACCCUCUCGAAAGGGAGGCUAAUACUGGAUACGUUCCCUGGGACGCAAGAUCUGGGGAGGAAAGGUGGCGAAAGCUGCCGCUCUUGGAGGGGCUCGCGGCCUGUCAGCUAGUUGGUGAGGUAACGGCUCACCAAGGCUAUGACGGGUAGCUGGUCUGAGAGGACGACCAGCCACACGGGAACUGAGACACGGUCCCGACUCCUACGGGAGGCAGCAGUGGGGAAUUUUCCGCAAUGGGCGAAAGCCUGACGGAGUGACGCCGCGUGGGGGACGAAGGCCUUCGGGUCGUAAACCCCUGUCAGAGGGAAAGAAGGGUGUCGGCGUGAAUAGCGCCGGCAUUUGACGGUACCUUCAGAGGAAGCCCCGGCCAACUCUGUGCCAGCAGCCGCGGUAAGACAGAGGGGGCAAGCGUUGCUCGGAAUCACUGGGCGUAAAGGGCGCGUAGGCGGGAUGGCAAGUCGGUCGUGAAAUCCUUCGGCUCAACCGAAGAACGUCGGCCGAUACUGCCGUUCUUGAGGGAUGCAGAGGAGAUUGGAAUUCCCGGUGUAGCGGUGAAAUGUGUAGAGAUCGGGAGGAACACCGGUGGCGAAGGCGGGUCUCUGGGCAUCUCCUGACGCUGAGGCGCGAAAGCGUGGGGAGCAAACGGGAUUAGAUACCCCGGUAGUCCACGCUGUAAACGAUGACGACUAGUGU